GCGCGCGUGGCGGAACUGGUAGACGCGCUAGCUUCAGGAGCUAGUGAGCUUUGCUCGUGUAAGUUCAAGUCUUAUCGCGCGCACCA
rnacentral:tRNA from 1 species